rnacentral:rRNA from 1 species
CGUGUAGGCGGCCAUUUAAGUCUGGAGUGAAAGUCCUGUUUUAAGGUGGGAAUUGCUUUGGAUACUGGAUGGCUUGAGUGCAGGAGAGGUUAUCGGAAUUCCCGGUGUAGCGGUGAAAUGCGUAGAGAUCGGGAGGAACACCAGUGGCGAAGGCGGGUAACUGGACUGCAACUGACGCUGAGGCGCGAAAGUGUGGGGAGCAAACAG